rnacentral:rRNA from 1 species
GAUGAACGCUAGCGGCAGGCUUAAUACAUGCAAGUCGAGGGGCAGCACGAAUAGCAAUAUUUGGUGGCGACCGGCGCACGGGUGCGUAACACGUAUACAACCUACCUAUAACAGGGGGAUAGCCUUUCGAAAGAGAGAUUAAUACCCCGUAAUAAAUUGAGUGGCAUCACUUGAUUUUGAAAGCUACGGCGGUUAUAAAUGGGUAUGCGUCCUAUUAGCUAGUUGGUGAGGUAACGGCUCACCAAGGCGACGAUAGGUAGGGGAUCUGAGAGGACUAACCCCCACACUGGUACUGAGACACGGACCAGACUCCUACGGGAGGCAGCAGUGAGGAAUAUUGGUCAAUGGGGCGCAAGCCUGAACCAGCCAUUCCCGCGUGCAGGAAGACGGCCCUAUGGGUUGUAAACUGCUUUUCCAGGGGGAGAAUUUUUCUGUCGUGACAGGAAUUGUCGGUACCCUGGGAAUAAGCAUCGGCUAACUCCGUGCCAGCAGCCGCG